rnacentral:lncRNA from 1 species
UAAAAUCAAAUCUAUUAUUAGGCUUUCGGUCUAUCAUAUAAUUGUCCUCCAAAAACAAUAGUACUAGUGCUAACUAAUACUAUCCAUUUUAUGGGAUCAUAAAAUAACCAAUCUUUAAUUCUUUUAGGAUAUCCUACGAAAUAGCACAAUUUUGACUUAGUAUUCAACUUCCUAGUCGUUCCCUUAAACACAUACUCUGGACACCUCCAUAUCCCAUAGUGUUGUAUACUAGCCUUGCGACUUAUCCACAACCAUAGGAGUGUUUGGAACAAAGUUAGUUGAAACUGAGUUUAAAAUAUAAAUUGUUAUUUCUAAAGACAUAACUGGGAUAAAAUCUCUUUAUCCAAUAAAUUCUUAAUAAAGUCACAAGAGAGGUACUCGCCACCUCGAUCAGAUCAAAGUGACUUUAUGUUAUUAUCUAGUUGCUUCUCCAUUUCAGUAUCCAAUAAAUACUUAUUAAAGUCACUAGAGAGGUACUCGCCACCUCGAUCGAAUAAAGAGACUUUAUGUUCUUAUCUAGUUGCUUUUCCGUUUUAGCAUAAAAAAUAUUUAAACUUUUCAAAAGCUUAGGACUUAUGGUACAAUAUAUAAACAUAACCAUACUUUGAGUAAUCAUCAAUAAAGGUAAUGAAAUACUCAAAAACUCCUCUAACCCUAACAUUUAAGGGUCCACGUGCAUCUGUAUGAACUAACUUUAAUAAACAAGAAACCUUUUUUUUAAUAUGAUAAGUUUUUUGAUUUGUCAUUCAAUUCAGUGUCAUAUAUCUCAUACAUCUUAAAAGUAACUAAAUAAGACUGUUAACUAAUUUGUCAAAGCAAAUAAGGAUUCAUUUAAUUUAAUAAAAAUAUAUUCAUUAAAUAAAAUGGAACAAAGCCAAACUGAAAUUAAAUUUUUUUUAUUGCUAGGAACAAAUAGACAAUCAUAUAAAAUUAAUAUUUUAUUCAAAAAAAAUAAUUUCUACUACUCCUACAAACACUGCAGCAACUCUUGCUUCUGAGCUUAGGUGCAAUGUAACCUCACCAUCACUUAAGUUCCUAGUUUUCUGAAAUUCCUGCAAUGUGUUACAAAUAUAAUUAGUUGCACCGGAAUUUACACACCAUAAAUUUGAAGCACUCGUAACAAAGUUUUCUUUAAUAUUAAGUGAUUCGGUUAUAUUUGAGUCCUUUUUCUGAGUCAGGUAGUUUGGAUAGUUUCUCUGCCAAUGACCCUCAACCUCACAGAGAGCAUGUAUCACUUGUGAGUUAAUCCAUUAAUUUAGUCAUUAAAAUUUAGAUUCAGUCUUUUUGGUAAAUUAUUUAUCAAAAUGAAGACUUAUAAUAUUAAUAACUAAAUAGAAAAUGAAUUAUGAAUCAUAAGGGUUAGAAAUAAUUAGGAUUUGAUGACGAUUAAUAAAUCUAAAUUUAACUAUGGUACCCAUAAAGAGGGGUUUUAAUUGUGGUAUAAAAUAGUAAUGAGGGUAUUCUAGUCUUUUUGCUUGGAAUGCAAUCCAGAUUAUUUAGUAAAAUUAAUUUGGAUUAAAUUGAAUUACUAAAUUGAGUUAUGAGAUAACUAGAACUUUUAGUGGUUUGAUUGAAGCCAAAUUACUAAAAGUUCUAGUAGAAGACCUAGCCUAUAUAUAUGAUAUGUGGGUUGCUAAUCCAACAUGAAUUAUUCUCUAUAAAAAUUUUUUUAGAGAAAAAUUUGAGAAUCCACACUCUAGAAGGAUUAGUUAAGGUUAAUAAAAAAAGGAGAGAAGAUCAAAGGGUAUAGAAAACGAAAAAAAAAAUCCUAAACUAUUUAGAAUUAGGGUUUGAUAAAAACAAGUUGUGAAGAAAAUUUGCGCAACAAUCUAUUCGUGUUCCAUCGGCCAAGAAUCCUUCUCAACUGGUCGAACAUAGUCUUGAUCAACAAUCUGUCCAUGUUCAACCGAUCAGACUUUUCUUCAACCGGUCAAACGUGUCUACUUUAGCAAAGAGGUGCAGUAGGGAGGCAAAUCUGACAUCCAGGGUUCAGAGUUGAUUUAUUCUAUUGCAAAUCAAUGUGUAUCUAACCCUCUCGUAAUCAAUGUUGUACAAUUUAUAUGGCUUAAGACUUGAAAGAAGGAAAAAUUUAAAAAUUAUGCUUUCGCUACAGAAUACGAUCCCCUUCAUAGAUAUUUGUUAUGUAAUUGGCUUUAUCAACAAAUAUCUUAAUCCAGGACCAGAAUAUUAGACCAUAAUGAAACAUAUUUUCAAGGACUAGUGAUUCUAUAUUGAUCUAUGGAGGUUUGUUUUAACUCCAGUCGGUUAUACAAAUUCUAAUUUCAUAUCAGAUAUGGAUUCAAAAGAGUCAACUUUCAGAUAUGUGUUCACUCUUAGGGAUCAACUAUUAGUUGGAAAAGUAUUAAGUAAUAGUGUAUUACUGAGUCAACUAGUGAAACAGAGUACAUAACAGUUACUAAAGCAGCUAAAGAGACAGUUUGACUUAAAAUGUUUCUUUUGAAGUUAGUAUGGUUUCACCAGCUCAAUUACCCAUUAUACU